rfam:Macrostomum lignano uti_cns_0001025, whole genome shotgun sequence.
GAUGCUCAUAAAUCACUUGAAAAAUAUACUCAGGAAUGCUUGUCGGAGCACUGUGCGCACUGACUGGAGUGCUUACCAUCGCCCUGCCGGUGCCAGUGAUCGUGUCCAAC